AUACCUAAAAAUUCGUCUCCGCACUUCUCUCCAAUCUCCUCUAUUUAUUCUACCUAACGGCGCUCCCAUAACUAAGGUCUGGUUCAGCUCUCAUUUAGCUACGGUUUUAAAAAACUGCGGCCUGUCUCCACUUCAAUACACCGGACAUUCCUUUAGGAUUGGCGCGGCCACUACUGCUGCUGCUGAGCAUUGAAUUCCAACAUCAACAAUCAAGUUACUGGGAAGAUGGUCGUCCUCAGCAUUCGAGUCCUACAUUAGACCCGAACAGAAAUUCAUCUCGAAGGCUCAGCAAAUAAUUUCAAGACGUUCUCAAGGAUCCUCUAAGAAAUACUUCAUUUAGAUACUGCCGCUGACGUUCCCCUCCAUCCUCCCCACCACCACCAGGUCGGCCCUGUCCAUGCGGGGGGUAGGCUCUGCCCUGCCUUCAUCUUCGGCAGGAUUAGCUGGUAUCUACAAUCUUCAGAUCCACGCUACGGAUGGGGCCUACGCCAAAUUAAUUCUGUGUUUGUUUUGUAAAUAAAUACUUCAGUCUUAUCUAC